rnacentral:rRNA from 1 species
AGAGUUUGAUCAUGGCUCAGAACAAACGCUGGCGGCGUGCCUAAUACAUGCAAGUCGAACGGGGAAAGCCUUCGGGGUGAGUACUAGUGGCGCACGGGUGAGUAACACGUGGGUAAUCUUCCUCGAAGCGUGGGAUAACUAGUCGAAAGAUUAGCUAAUACCACAUAAGACCACAGGAUCUGCGGAUCCAGAGGUCAAAGUUUUUCGCUUUGAGAUGAGCCCGCGCAAGAUUAGCUAGUUGGUGAGGUAAUGGCUCACCAAGGCAACGAUCUUUAGCUGGUCUGAGAGGAUGAUCAGCCACACUGGAACUGGGACACGGUCCAGACUCCUACGGGAGGCAGCAGUAGGGAAUAUUGCACAAUGGAGGAAACUCUGAUGCAGCGACGCCGCGUGAGUGAUGAAGGACUUCGGUUCGUAAAGCUCUGUCGUAUGGGAAUAAGAAAGUGAAUGUACCAUGCAAGAAAGGAUCGGCUAACUUCGUG